GCUUGCGGCCCAUUAGCUUGUUGGUGGGGUAAUGGCCUACCAAGGCGACGAUGGGUAGCCGACCUGAGAGGGUGAUCGGCCACAUUGGGACUGAGAUACGGCCCAGACUCCUACGGGAGGCAGCAGUAGGGAAUUUUGCGCAAUGGACGAAAGUCUGACGCAGCGACGCCGCGUGAGCGAUGAAGGUCUUCGGAUUGUAAAGCUCUGUUGAGUGGGAAGAAAACCUUCGGGGACAAUACCCUCGGAGCUUGACGGUACCACUCGAGGAAGCCCCGGCUAACUACGUGCCAGCAGCCGCGGUAAUACGUAGGGGGCUAGCGUUGUUCGGAAUCACUGGGCGUAAAGGGAGUGUAGGCGGGAAGGUAAGUUAGGAGUUAAAUUCACAGGCUUAACCUGUGGCCUGCACUUAAUACUGCCUUUCUUGAGUAUGGGAGAGGGUGAUGGAAUUCCAGGUGUAGCGGUGGAAUGCGUAGAUAUCUGGAAGAACACCAGUUGCGAAGGCGGUCACCUGGCCCAAUACUGACGCUGAGGCUCGAAAGCUAGGGGAGCGAACAGGAUUAGAUACCCUGGUAGUCCUAGCCGUAAACGAUGGAUACUAGUUGCUGGAGGAGUCAAUCCUUUCAGUGACGAAGUUAACGCAUUAAGUAUCCCGCCUGGGGAGUACGCUCGCAAGGGUGAAACUCAAAGGAAUUGACGGGGGCCCGCACAAGCGGUGGAGCAUGUGCUUUAAUUCGAUGCAACGCGAAGAACCUUACCUGGGUUUGACAUGGGAGUGAAAGGAUCCAGAGAUGGAACCCCUUCCGCAAGGAACACUUCACACAGGUGCUGCAUGGUUGUCGUCAGCUCGUGUCGUGAGAUGUUGGGUUAAGUCCCGCAACGAGCGCAACCCCUGCCCUUAGUUGCCAUCAGGUAAAGCUGGGAACUCUAAGGGGACCACUUGUCGUAAACAGGAGGAAGGUGGGGAUGACGUCAAAUCAUCAUGGCCCUUACGCCCAGGGCUAGACACGUGCUACAAUGGUCGGUACAAUGGGAUGCGAACCUGCGAGGGCAAGCUAAUCCCAGAAAACCGGCCUCAGUCCGGAUUGGAGUCUGCAACUCGACUCCAUGAAGUUGGAAUCGCUAGUAAUCGCGGAUCAGCAUGCCG
rnacentral:rRNA from 1 species